GACGAACGCUGGCGGCGUGCGUAAUACAUGCAAGUCGAACGCACGAAGUUGAAGAGCUUGCUCUUUAACCAAGUGAGUGGCGGACGGGUGAGUAACACGUGGGUAACCUGCCCAUUAGAGGGGGAUAACAUUCGGAAACGGAUGCUAAUACCGCAUAGUUUCAGGGAUCGCAUGAUUCUUGAAGGAAAGGUGGCUCCGGCUACCACUAAUGGAUGGACCCGCGGCGUAUUAGCUAGUUGGUGAGGUAAUGGCUCACCAAGGCAAUGAUACGUAGCCGACCUGAGAGGGUGAUCGGCCACACUGGGACUGAGACACGGCCCAGACUCCUACGGGAGGCAGCAGUAGGGAAUCUUCCGCAAUGGACGAAAGUCUGACGGAGCAACGCCGCGUGAGUGAAGAAGGUUUUCGGAUCGUAAAACUCUGUUGUUAAAGAAGAACAAGGAUGAGAGUAACUGCUCAUCCCCUGACGGUAUUUAACCAGAAAGCCACGGCUAACUACGUGCCAGCAGCCGCGGUAAUACGUAGGUGGCAAGCGUUGUCCGGAUUUAUUGGGCGUAAAGCGAGCGCAGGCGGUUCUUUAAGUCUGAUGUGAAAGCCCCCGGCUCAACCGGGGAGGGUCAUUGGAAACUGGAGAACUUGAGUGCAGAAGAGGAGAGUGGAAUUCCACGUGUAGCGGUGAAAUGCGUAGAUAUGUGGAGGAACACCAGUGGCGAAGGCGACUCUCUGGUCUGUAACUGACGCUGAGGCUCGAAAGCGUGGGGAGCAAACAGG
rnacentral:rRNA from 1 species